rnacentral:rRNA from 1 species
UACAGAGGUCUCAAGCGUUGUUCGGAUUCAUUGGGCGUAAAGGGUGCGUAGGUGGCGCCGUAAGUCAGGUGUGAAAUUUCGGAGCUUAACUCCGAAACUGCAUUUGAUACUGCGGUGCUUGAGGACUGGAGAGGAGACUGGAAUUUACGGUGUAGCAGUGAAAUGCGUAGAGAUCGUAAGGAAGACCAGUGGCGAAGGCGGGUCUCUGGACAGUUCCUGACAGCUGAGGCACGAAGGCCAGGGGAGCAAACGGGG